rnacentral:rRNA from 1 species
GGUAAACGCUGGCGGCGUGCCUAAAACAUGCAAGUCGAACGCACGGUCGCAAGACUGUGAGUGGCAGACGGCUGAGUAACGCGUGAGUGACAUACCCGUUGGUGGGGAAUAACUGCCCGAAAGGGUGGCUAAUACCGCAUAAGCCCACUGGACCGAUCCAGUGGGGAAAGUCGCAAGGCGCCGAUGGAAUGGCUCGCGUUCGAUUAGCUGUGUGGGUAAUGGCUACCAAGGCGACGAUCGAUAGCUGGUCUCAGAGGAUGAUCAGCCAGACUGGGACUGAGAC